GAGAACUCGCCAAGGAUGUCAACAGCGUUGUC
rnacentral:scRNA from 1 species